rnacentral:lncRNA from 1 species
UUCUAAACUCCUACCCAAACCAGAACUGCCUUUCGAGGCCAUUCGUUAAGAAAUUUUUAGAGUCUAAAUGGGUACUGAAACUUACGGGUUUGGAAGUGUUUCCUAGCCGGAAAUGGUGCAAGAUCGCCGGAAAUAUCGCUCUCUCUCUCGCCGGAGUUGCUUGUAGAACACCGGAAAUCGCCGGAGAAAAUUUUGUUUUUUCGUAUGGCAAAGGUAGAAACUCUGAUAAGCCCCCAAAGUUCACCUUUUAUAGGAAAGACAAAUCCAAUCUCCACCGUUGAAUUCAAAAACGAUCAAUCUAAACCGUUCGUUGUAUUCUCGAUCCCAGCCGUUGAAAUGAAACGCCAGAUUUGAUCUACGCCCAAGAUGUCGCUGUGGCUUUCACGCUAAAUUAAAACGCGUCGCCUCGGUUACCAACAGCCGUCAAUAAUAAUUACUGGCCGCAGCAGCCUUCUAGGGGAAUGGGCGUGGUACCCAACUGUCGCCUUGGAAACACGCAACAGUUGUCAAAUCAUUGGAAUUCUGGGUCGCCUCGGAUGAUCUCCUCCCCCAGUGGCUAAUCGCCUCGGGCGCUGCGUUCCCUCCUAUGCUUUACGAAGUUCGAGCCAUCUCCCCACGCGUCGACCCCCUUUUUUCGCCAACGCUUCGGCGAGAAACGAGUCCUCCAACUUUACAAAGCUUGGACGCACCCCGAUGCGAACGCCCCGUUUGCUAUCGCCUCGGUCGCUGCGUCCCCUCCCACGCUUUGCAAAGCUUGAGCCGUCUCCCUCUUCCUGCCAACGCUUCGGUGAAGACGAGUCCCUAAGAUUUUUAUGACGCUUUAACGUACCCGACGCGAGCGUACCACUGGCUCAUCGCCUCGGCUCUGCGUUCUUCCCAUGCUCUACAAAGUUUCAGCUACCCCCAUGCCGCGAUCCGGUCAGGAAAACAAA